rnacentral:rRNA from 1 species
GAGUAUUAAAAAAUUAUUAUUAGAGAAUAUUUAAUCUACUCAAAAAAUUUUUUUAUAAAAUUAAUUAAUUAGAAGGAACUCGGCAAUUUAAUGCUCCGCCUGUUUAUCAAAAACAUGGCUCUUUGUAAACAAAAAAUAAAGAGUCGGGCCUGCCCAGUGAAUUUUCAACGGCCGCGGUACUCUGACCGUGCAAAGGUAGCAUAAUCAUUUGCCUUAUAAUUGAAGGCUAGUAUGAAUGGUUUGACGAGAGCAAUACUGUCUCCUUAUUAUUUUCAAGAACUUAACUUUUAGGUGAAGAGGCCUAAAUUUUAUUGAAGGACAAGAAGACCCUGUCGAGCUUAAAAGAUUAUAUAGGAGUCUAUAUAUCUUUAGAUAAAUUUCUAUUGAGCUUUUUAGUUGGGGCGACUGAGGAACAAAAAAAGCUUCUUUUUAAAAAAUAAACAAUCAUGUUUAGAUCCGGUAGUAGCGAUUAAGGAAAUUAGUUACCGCAGGGAUAACAGCAUAAUCUCUCUUGAGAGACCUAAUCGAAAGAGGGGGUUGUGACCUCGAUGUUGGACUAGAA